GAUGAACGCUGGCGGCGUGCUUAACACAUGCAAGUCGAACGGAAAGGCCCAAGCUUGCUUGGGUACUCGAGUGGCGAACGGGUGAGUAACACGUGGGUGAUCUGCCCUGCACUUCGGGAUAAGCCUGGGAAACUGGGUCUAAUACCGGAUAGGACGAUGGUUUGGAUGCCAUUGUGGAAAGUUUUUUCGGUGUGGGAUGAGCUCGCGGCCUAUCAGCUUGUUGGUGGGGUAAUGGCCUACCAAGGCGUCGACGGGUAGCCGGCCUGAGAGGGUGUACGGCCACAUUGGGACUGAGAUACGGCCCAGACUCGUACGGGAGGCAGCAGUGGGGAAUAUUGCACAAUGGGCGCAAGCCUGAUGCAGCGACGCCGCGUGGGGGAUGACGGCCUUCGGGUUGUAAACUCCUUUCGCUAGGGACGAAGCGUUUUUGUGACGGUACCUGGAGAAGAAGCACCGGCUAACUACGUG
rnacentral:rRNA from 1 species